CUACGGGAGGCACCAGUGAGGAAUAUUGCACAAUGGGGGGAACCCUGAUGCAGCAACGCCGCGUGGAGGAUGACGCAUUUCGGUGUGUAAACUCCUUUUAUAUGUCAAGAAAAUGACGGUAGCAUAUGAAUAAGCACCGGCUAACUCCGUGCCAGCAGCCGCGGUAAUACGGAGGGUGCAAGCGUUACUCGGAAUCACUGGGCGUAAAGGACGCGUAGGCGGGUUGGAAAGUCAGGUGUGAAAUCCUACAGCUUAACUGUAGAACUGCACUUGAAACUUCUAAUCUAGAGUAUGGGAGGGGGAGAUGGAAUUAGUGGUGUAGGGGUAAUAUCCGUAGAUAUCACUAGGAAUACCUAAAGCGAAGGCGAUCUCCUGGAACAUUACUGACGCUAAGGUGUGAAAGCGUGGGGAGCAAACAGGAUUAGAUACCCCCGUAGUC
rnacentral:rRNA from 1 species